UUUCUAGGAGUUCGCUGUUGCUGUUGCAGGCUUGAAUGGUCCUCUGUGUCCUGCUCUGAGAUCUGCUGUUGGGUGCAUUGAGGGGACCUCAGGAAGCUCUGAGAUUUAGACAUGGAUGCAGUGACUUUUGACGAUGUGCAUGUGAACUUCACUAAAGAAGAAUGGAAUUUGCUGGAUCCUUCCCAGAUGAAUCUCUACAAAGAUGUUAUGUUGGACACCUACUGGAACCUUACUUCUAUAGGCUACAAAUGGGAAGACCAUCAUAUUGAAGAACCAUGUCAAAGUUCUCAAAGACAUACAAGUUCUCUCUCUUUCAGCUCCAGUCUGCCUCCCAGGUGUACUCUGUUUCUUGUGAGCCUAGGGUCGGCUCCCAACACUUGUGAAUGAAGUCAAGUUGGAAAACCCUUUACAUGCCACAGUAGUCUCUGAAUACCUAAAGGAACACAUACAAGAGAGAAACCUUAUCAAUAUAACUAAUGUGGUAAAGCCUUGCAUGUCCUAAUCAUAUUUAAAUGUAUGAAAGUAUUUAUAGUAGAUGUAAACUGUAUUAAUUUGAAUAUGCUUGGCCCUAAGCAGUGGCACUAUUAGUGGGUGUGUCUUGUAG
rnacentral:lncRNA from 1 species